rnacentral:ncRNA from 1 species
AUCGCAGCGGGAGGCAAUGACGCGCGGUCCACGCAACGGCCGCCUCAGACCGCGCCGAGCCACUGGCGAGACCGACCGCUCGGCAU